AGUCGAACAUGAUGCCCAGCUUGCUGGGCGGAUUAGUGGCGAACGGGUGAGUAAUACGUGAGUAACCUGCCCUUGACUCUGGGAUAAGCCUGGGAAACUGGGUCUAAUACUGGAUACUACCGUCCACCGCAUGGUGGGUGGUGGAAAGGGUUUUACUGGUUUUGGAUGGGCUCACGGCCUAUCAGCUUGUUGGUGGGGUAAUGGCUCACCAAGGCGACGACGGGUAGCCGGCCUGAGAGGGUGACCGGCCACACUGGGACUGAGACACGGCCCAGACUCCUACGGGAGGCAGCAGUGGGGAAUAUUGCACAAUGGGCGGAAGCCUGAUGCAGCGACGCCGCGUGAGGGAUGACGGCCUUCGGGUUGUAAACCUCUUUCAGUAGGGAAGAAGCGAGAGUGACGGUACCUGCAGAAGAAGCGCCGGCUAACUACGUGCCAGCAGCCGCGGUAAUACGUAGGGCGCAAGCGUUGUCCGGAAUUAUUGGGCGUAAAGAGCUCGUAGGCGGUUUGUCGCGUCUGCUGUGAAAGCCCGGGGCUCAACCCCGGGUCUGCAGUGGGUACGGGCAGACUAGAGUGCAGUAGGGGAGACUGGAAUUCCUGGUGUAGCGGUGAAAUGCGCAGAUAUCAGGAGGAACACCGAUGGCGAAGGCAGGUCUCUGGGCUGUUACUGACGCUGAGGAGCGAAAGCAUGGGGAGCGAACAGGAUUAGAUACCCUGGUAGUCCAUGCCGUAAACGUUGGGCACUAGGUGUGGGGGACAUUCCACGUUUUCCGCGCCGUAGCUAACGCAUUAAGUGCCCCGCCUGGGGAGUACGGCCGCAAGGCUAAAACUCAAAGGAAUUGACGGGGGCCCGCACAAGCGGCGGAGCAUGCGGAUUAAUUCGAUGCAACGCGAAGAACCUUACCAAGGCUUGACAUUCACCGGACCGCCCCAGAGAUGGGGUUUCCCUUCGGGGCUGGUGGACAGGUGGUGCAUGGUUGUCGUCAGCUCGUGUCGUGAGAUGUUGGGUUAAGUCCCGCAACGAGCGCAACCCUCGUUCUAUGUUGCCAGCACGUGAUGGUGGGGACUCAUAGGAGACUGCCGGGGUCAACUCGGAGGAAGGUGGGGAUGACGUCAAAUCAUCAUGCCCCUUAUGUCUUGGGCUUCACGCAUGCUACAAUGGCCGGUACAAAGGGUUGCGAUACUGUGAGGUGGAGCUAAUCCCAAAAAGCCGGUCUCAGUUCGGAUUGAGGUCUGCAACUCGACCUCAUGAAGUCGGAGUCGCUAGUAAUCGCAGAUCAGCAACGCUGCGGUGAAUACGUUCCCGGGCCUUGUACACACCGCCCGUCAAGGCACGAAAGUUGGUAACACCCGAAGCCGGUGGCCUAACC
rnacentral:rRNA from 1 species